rnacentral:rRNA from 1 species
UUUAAGUAUAACCUGCCAGACAGGGAAACUGCGUACGGCUCAUUACACCAGCCUUAAUUUACUUGACCUUGACAACCUACUUGGAUAACUGUGGUAAUUCUAGAGCUAAUACAUGCACCAAAGCUCCGAUCCUCGCGGAGAGGAGCGCAUUUGUUCGCCACAAAACCAAGCGCCCAUCUGGGCGUCCAGUGCUGAACCAGAACAACUCAGCUGAUCGCACGGUCUUGUACCGGCGACGUGUCUUUCAAGUGUCUGCCUUAUCAACUUUCGAUGGUAGUGUACCUGACUACCAUGGUUGUGACGGGUAACGGAGGAUAAGGGUUCGACUCCGGAGAAGGGGCCUGAGAAAUGGCCACUACGUCUAAGGAUGGCAGCAGGCGCGCAAAUUACCCACUCUCAACGCGAGGAGGUAGUGACGAGAAAUAACGAGACCGUUCUCAUACGAGGCCGGUUAUUGGAAUGGGUACAAUUUA